rnacentral:lncRNA from 1 species
UCAAAUGAUCCACCCGCCUCAGCCUCCCAAAGUGCUGGAACUACAGGUGUGAGCCACCAUGCCCGGCCUAUGACAUUUUAUAUUAGGGAUUUGAGCACAUUCUGAUUUUGGUACCACAUGGGGUCCUAGAACCAAUCCCCUGGGGAUACCGAGGGAUGGCUGGACAUAGAUUUGUAUACACAUGUGUAUCCACGUCUAGGCUACUUUUCUAGGAGUUGAAUGACUGGAUUGAAACUUUAGAACUGGCACAGCCGCUAAAAGUCAAGCAGGUGUUUUAUAGGGAUUUCAUUAACUUUGCAGACUUCUGGAAGAAUUGACAUGUUAAUGACAAGCCUUCCUUUCUAAGAACAGGGUUUGUCCUGUUUGUUCAGGAAUUCCUUUGUGUCCACAGCUUUUCAUCCAGAUCUUGCAGACUUCAUAACUUGAUUCCUAAGUAUUUAGUCCCUUCAUUACUAAUAUAAAUGGGAUGUUUUCUUGAUUUCUAAACCAUGGUCCUUUGCCUAUGGAGAGAUGCUCCAUUUGUAUUGGCUGUGAUUUUGUAAACUGUGUUUUUUGAAUCUAACCAACUUGUUGAAUUCCUUUUUUUUUUUUUUUUUGGAGAUGGAGUCUCACUCUGUCACCCAAGCUGCAGUGCAGUGGCGCGAUCUCUGCUCACUGCAACCUCCAUCUUUGGGUUCAAGGGAUUCUCUUGCCUCAGCCUCCUGAGUAGCUGAGAUUACAGGCAUGGGCCAUCACACCCAGCUAAUGUUUGUAUUUUUAGUAGAGAUGGGGUUUCACCAUGUUGGCCAGGCUGGUCUUGAACUCCUGACCUCGGGUGAUCCGCUUGCCUCAGCCUCCCAAAGUGCUAGGAUUACAGGUGUGAACCACCGCGCCUGGCCUGAAUUUCCUUGUUUUUAAUCCCACUUUUUCAGUGGUCACAUUUUCAGGUAUACGAUCCUUCACCAAGAACAACUUGAGGAUGUAUUUUGGUGUAAGAAUUAGAAACCUUGUCUUUUCUUUUUAGAGACAGGGUCUUGUUCUUUCACCCAGACUGGACUGCAGUGAUGCGAUCAUAGCUCACUGCAGCCUCGAACUCCUUCGCUCCAGAGAUCCCCCAACCUCAGUCUCUGGAGUAGCUGGGACUACAAGUAUGUACCAUCACGCCUAACUAAUUUUUAUUUUUAUUUUUAGUAAAGAUGAGUUCUUGCUAUGUUGCCCAGGCUGGUCUCAAACUCCUGGGCUCCAAUGAUCGUCCCUCCUCAUCCUUCCAAAGUGCUGGGAUUACAGGUGUAAGCCACCGUGCCUGGCUUCUUUUUUUUUCCUUUUAAUAUAUGAUUAUUUUUUGUAAAGAUGGCGUCUCACUCUGUUGCCCAGGCUGGUCUCCAGUGAUUUCAAUUCUUGUAAGUAUAAAGCAGAUGUGGAAGUGCUGGGUCAUUUGGUGGUUCUAUUUUUAAUGUUUUGAGGAACCACCAUACCAUAGUUCAUAGUGGAAGGCUGUUUUUUAAAUGAAAUAAACAUGUAAGGCUGAGGUGCCCAUCUACUUCCCUAGAAAAACCACAGUAAGGACAUUGCCACGUCUCCUUUCUGCCCCUGUUUUUUGGCUGUUACCACAUCUGCAUGUCCAUCAAUUUAGUAUUUCUUUCUUUUUAUCUCUAUUUACUUUUUUUUUUUUUUUGAGAUGGAGUCUCUGUUGCCUAGGCUGGAGUGCAAUGGCGCAAUCUUGGUUCGCUGCAACCUCCGCCUCCUGGGUUCAAGUGAUUCUCCUGCCUCAGCCUCCUUAGUAGCUGGGAUUACAGGCACGCACCACCACGCCCAGCUGUUUUUUUUUUUUUUCUUUUGAAACAGAGUUACCUUCUCGUUGCCCAGGCUGGACUGCAAUGGCAGGAUCUCGGCUCACCACA